AUUGAACGCUGGCGGCAUGCUUUACACAUGCAAGUCGAACGGUAACAGGCCGCAAGGUGCUGACGAGUGGCGAACGGGUGAGUAAUGCAUCGGAACGUGCCCAGUCGUGGGGGAUAACUACUCGAAAGAGUAGCUAAUACCGCAUACGAUCUAUGGAUGAAAGCGGGGGACCGUAAGGCCUCGCGCGAUUGGAGCGGCCGAUGUCAGAUUAGGUAGUUGGGGGGGUAAAGGCUCACCAAGCCAACGAUCUGUAGCUGGUCUGAGAGGACAACCAGCCACACUGGGACUGAGACACGGCCCAGACUCCUACGGGAGGCAGCAGUGGGGAAUUUUGGACAAUGGGCGCAAGCCUGAUCCAGCAAUGCCGCGUGCAGGAAGAAGGCCUUCGGGUUGUAAACUGCUUUUGUACGGAACGAAACGGCUCUGGUUAGUACCCGGGGCUAAUGACGGUACCGUAAGAAUAAGCACCGGCUAACUACGUG
rnacentral:rRNA from 1 species